ACUAAGCUGCAUUGUACGUAAUCAUAAUUAAGUUUUAACCUUUAAGCUGUAAUAGGGAGUUUAAAAUCAAAACAGGAAUGACAAGCCUCUGUCUAUAAGACAAGGAGGACAUGCAGGAUCGUUUUUGCGAACACCCACUUUGAGAAGUGGUGGUUUAAAACUUUCUUAUACAUUAUUACGGCAAAGGCGGCUUUCUA
rnacentral:other from 2 species